GCGCCGUUACCUCAGCUGGAUAGAGGGUCUGACUACGAAUCAGAACGUCGAGGGUUCGAAUCCCCCACGGCGCA
rfam:Slackia sp. CM382 contig00015, whole genome shotgun sequence.